rnacentral:rRNA from 1 species
UUGCUGUGCGCCUCUCGGGGCUGCACGCUUGAGAACACGUGAUUCUCACACCUGUGCACCUUUGGAAACGAGAAAUUCCAUUUCUCGAGUCUGCCCACACACUCUGUAUCAGUCACAAAAGUCAUCCAUUUCUUUAAAGAAAAAUACAACUUUCAACAACGGAUCUCUUGGCUCUCGCAUCGAUGAAGAACGCAGCGAAAUGCGAUAAGUAAUGUGAAUUGCAGAAUUCAGUGAAUCAUCGAAUCUUUGAACGCACCUUGCGCUCCUUGGUAUUCCGAGGAGCAUGCCUGUUUGAGUGUCACGUUAAUACAUCACCCUCCUUUGGUCACCUGAAGGGGUGCGUGGACUUGGACUGUGCCGUUGUUGGCUUGUCCUGAAAUGCAUUGGCCGCCUUGAGCUUGCCUCCCUGGUGUGAUAGUCAUCUACGCCUUCGGAGUGGGUUACUUGGAGGCCUUACCGUCUUCGGACAAUCAUUGAUCUUUGACCUCAAAUCAGGUAGGACUACCCGCUGAACUUAAGCAUAUCAAUAAGCGGAGGAAAAGAAACUAACAAGGAUUCCCCUAGUAACGGCGAGUGAAGCGGGAAAAGCUCAAAUUUGAAAUCUGGCGUCUUUUGGGCGUCCGAGUUGUAUCCUAGAGAGGUGUUUUCUGCGUCGGACCAUGCAUAAGUCCCUUGGA